rnacentral:rRNA from 1 species
GAGUUUGAUCAUGGCUCAGGACGAACGCUGGCGGCGUGCUUAACACAUGCAAGUCGAGCGGAAAGGCCCUUCGGGGUACUCGAGCGGCGAACGGGUGAGUAACACGUGAGCAACCUGCCCUUGGCUUUGGGAUAACCCUCGGAAACGGGGGCUAAUACCGAAUAUCCAUCUUCUGUCGCAUGGUGGUUGGUGGAAAGUUUUUCGGCCAGGGAUGGGCUCGCGGCCUAUCAGCUUGUUGGUGGGGUGAUGGCCUACCAAGGCGACGACGGGUAGCCGGCCUGAGAGGGCGACCGGCCACACUGGGACUGAGACACGGCCCAGACUCCUACGGGAGGCAGCAGUGGGGAAUAUUGCACAAUGGGCGGAAGCCUGAUGCAGCGACGCCGCGUGAGGGAUGACGGCCUUCGGGUUGUAAACCUCUUUCAGCAGGGACGAAGCGAAAGUGACGGUACCUGCAGAAGAAGCGCCGGCCAACUACGUGCCAGCAGCCGCGGUAAGACGUAGGGCGCGAGCGUUGUCCGGAUUUAUUGGGCGUAAAGAGCUCGUAGGCGGCUUGUCGCGUCGACUGUGAAAACCCGUGGCUCAACCAUGUGGUCUGCAGUCGAUACGGGCAGGCUAGAAUUCGGUAGGGGAGACUGGAAUUCCUGGUGUAGCGGUGAA